GUAGAGGGGGCAUGAGAGAACUUUAA
rnacentral:piRNA from 1 species